rnacentral:rRNA from 1 species
GGUUAAGCGACUAAGCGUACACGGUGGAUGCCCUGGCAGUCAGAGGCGAUGAAGGACGUGCUAAUCUGCGAUAAGCGUCGGUAAGGUGAUAUGAACCGUUAUAACCGGCGAUUUCCGAAUGGGGAAACCCAGUGUGAUUCGUCACACUAUCAUUAACUGAAUCCAUAGGUUAAUGAGGCGAACCGGGGGAACUGAAACAUCUAAGUACCCCGAGGAAAAGAAAUCAACCGAGAUUCCCCCAGUAGCGGCGAGCGAACGGGGAGGAGCCCAGAGCCUGAAUCAGUGUGUGUGUUAGUGGAAGCGUCUGGAAAGGCGCGCGAUACAGGGUGACAGCCCCGUACACAAAAAUGCACAUGCUGUGAGCUCGAUGAGUAGGGCGGGACACGUGGUAUCCUGUCUGAAUAUGGGGGGACCAUCCUCCAAGGCUAAAUACUCCUGACUGACCGAUAGUGAACCAGUACCGUGAGGGAAAGGCGAAAAGAACCCCGGCGAGGGGAGUGAAAAAGAACCUGAAACCGUGUACGUACAAGCAGUGGGAGCACGCUUCGGCGUGUGACUGCGUACCUUUUGUAUAAUGGGUCAGCGACUUAUAUUCUGUAGCAAGGUUAACCGAAUAGGGGAGCCGAAGGGAAACCGAGUCUUAACUGGGCGUUAAGUUGCAGGGUAUAGACCCGAAACCCGGUGAUCUAGCCAUGGGCAGGUUGAAGGUUGGGUAACACUAACUGGAGGACCGAACCGACUAAUGUUGAAAAAUUAGCGGAUGACUUGUGGCUGGGGGUGAAAGGCCAAUCAAACCGGGAGAUAGCUGGUUCUCCCCGAAAGCUAUUUAGGUAGCGCCUCGUGAAUUCAUCUCCGGGGGUAGAGCACUGUUUCGGCAAGGGGGUCAUCCCGACUUACCAACCCGAUGCAAACUGCGAAUACCGGAGAAUGUUAUCACGGGAGACACACGGCGGGUGCUAACGUCCGUCGUGAAGAGGGAAACAACCCAGACCGCCAGCUAAGGUCCCAAAGUCAUGGUUAAGUGGGAAACGAUGUGGGAAGGCCCAGACAGCCAGGAUGUUGGCUUAGAAGCAGCCAUCAUUUAAAGAAAGCGUAAUAGCUCACUGGUCGAGUCGGCCUGCGCGGAAGAUGUAACGGGGCUAAACCAUGCACCGAAGCUGCGGCAGCGACACUAUGUGUUGUUGGGUAGGGGAGCGUUCUGUAAGCCUGUGAAGGUGUACUGUGAGGUAUGCUGGAGGUAUCAGAAGUGCGAAUGCUGACAUAAGUAACGAUAAAGCGGGUGAAAAGCCCGCUCGCCGGAAGACCAAGGGUUCCUGUCCAACGUUAAUCGGGGCAGGGUGAGUCGACCCCUAAGGCGAGGCCGAAAGGCGUAGUCGAUGGGAAACAGGUUAAUAUUCCUGUACUUGGUGUUACUGCGAAGGGGGGACGGAGAAGGCUAUGUUGGCCGGGCGACGGUUGUCCCGGUUUAAGCGUGUAGGCUGGUUUUCCAGGCAAAUCCGGAAAAUCAAGGCUGAGGCGUGAUGACGAGGCACUACGGUGCUGAAGCAACAAAUGCCCUGCUUCCAGGAAAAGCCUCUAAGCAUCAGGUAACAUCAAAUCGUACCCCAAACCGACACAGGUGGUCAGGUAGAGAAUACCAAGGCGCUUGAGAGAACUCGGGUGAAGGAACUAGGCAAAAUGGUGCCGUAACUUCGGGAGAAGGCACGCUGAUAUGUAGGUGAAGNNNNNNNNNNNNNNNNNNNNNNNNNNNNNNNNNNNNNNNNNNNNNNNNNNNNNNNNNNNGUUAAUUGAUGGGGUUAGCGCAAGCGAAGCUCUUGAUCGAAGCCCCGGUAAACGGCGGCCGUAACUAUAACGGUCCUAAGGUAGCGAAAUUCCUUGUCGGGUAAGUUCCGACCUGCACGAAUGGCGUAAUGAUGGCCAGGCUGUCUCCACCCGAGACUCAGUGAAAUUGAACUCGCUGUGAAGAUGCAGUGUACCCGCGGCAAGACGGAAAGACCCCGUGAACCUUUACUAUAGCUUGACACUGAACAUUGAGCCUUGAUGUGUAGGAUAGGUGGGAGGCUUUGAAGUGUGGACGCCAGUCUGCAUGGAGCCGACCUUGAAAUACCACCCUUUAAUGUUUGAUGUUCUAACGUUGGCCCGUUAUCCGGGUUGCGGACAGUGUCUGGUGGGUAGUUUGACUGGGGCGGUCUCCUCCUAAAGAGUAACGGAGGAGCACGAAGGUUGGCUAAUCCUGGUCGGACAUCAGGAGGUUAGUGCAAUGGCAUAAGCCAGCUUGACUGCGAGCGUGACGGCGCGAGCAGGUGCGAAAGCAGGUCAUAGUGAUCCGGUGGUUCUGAAUGGAAGGGCCAUCGCUCAACGGAUAAAAGGUACUCCGGGGAUAACAGGCUGAUACCGCCCAAGAGUUCAUAUCGACGGCGGUGUUUGGCACCUCGAUGUCGGCUCAUCACAUCCUGGGGCUGAAGUAGGUCCCAAGGGUAUGGCUGUUCGCCAUUUAAAGUGGUACGCGAGCUGGGUUUAGAACGUCGUGAGACAGUUCGGUCCCUAUCUGCCGUGGGCGCUGGAGAACUGAGGGGGGCUGCUCCUAGUACGAGAGGACCGGAGUGGACGCAUCACUGGUGUUCGGGUUGUCAUGCCAAUGGCACUGCCCGGUAGCUAAAUGCGGAAGAGAUAAGUGCUGAAAGCAUCUAAGCACGAAACUUGCCCCGAGAUCAGUUCUCCCUGACUCCUAGAGAGUCCUGAAGGAACGUUGAAGACGACGACGUUGAUAGGCCGGGUGUGUAAGCGCAGCGAUGCGUUGA